GCUAGCAUAGGGCCCUGUCUCUGGACCUUAAGCAAGGGCCUGGAGUGUCAGCCAUGGGCAGUUUAUAAGUACAGCAGUUCUGGAGUAGGACAGGCAUGACCAGGAGGCUUCUGCUGGCCUUUUAAUACUAGAAGACCUUGUUUCUAGGGGCACCACACAGCAAUAUUUGGGUAGUGGCCACGGGUUGGUCCACAGCACCACCUGCCCCCUCCUCUGGUGCAUUUUAAACCAUUUCCAAACUGUGGGGAAAAUUCUUGUCCAUCUUCAGUCAUGCCAAUGAGCAUCCUAGGAUGGGUGGCCUACUGAUAGGCAGAACGAGGUUCCGUGCCAGAGUCUGGGGCUACACAAGGGGCCUGGUGCCAGUGCAGUGGGUGAGUUAUGAGACCUGAGCUGCAGACUGGAAUGGGACCCCAUCCCACCUGUCUAACAGAUGGGGCUGUGCUGUGUCAUUAUGUCAUUGUAAUAUAAAUACAGA
rnacentral:lncRNA from 1 species